rnacentral:pre_miRNA from 1 species
AGUGGAAUUGCUAGGUUAUAAGAUAAGUGUGUUUAAGAAAUUAUCAAAUUAUUUUCCAAAGUGUCUGUUCCAUUUUACGUAACCACAAGCAAU